GGGAAGGAGCUGAGGAUGGGCCCGGGGAAGGUGACCACCACGGGGGAGGCUGGAUCACGGUGGUGGAGUCGGGGCACUGGCGGACACACGGCUCGUUCCCGCUGUCAGCCAGGGGCUGGGGCCGGAGGGCGCCGCAGGAAGAGGGGUACAGGUCGUAGCACUGCCCUGGCCACCUUCUCCUCCUCAGGAUCAAGGAGCACCCUCGGAUCCCACUCCAAGAUGUCUUGCUACGACCUGUGCCCCCCCAGGACCAGCACGGAGCUGUGCCCCCCCAGGACCAGCGUGGCUGUGCCCCAGCCCAUCGCUGAGAGCUGCAACGAGCUGUGCGCCCGCCAGUGCCCCGACUCCUCUGCCUUCAUCCAGCCACCGCCCGUGGUGGUCACCUUCCCCGGCCCCAUCCUCAGCUCCUUCCCCCAGCAGGCCGUGGUGGGCUCCUCCGGAGCACCGGCCUUUGGCGGCUCCCUGGGGCUGGGCGGCCUCUACGGCGCCGGCGCCACCCAGGCCUCGGGGGGCCUCUGCACCUUUGGCAGAGCCUACGCUGCUCCCGCCUGCAGCCCUUGCGCCCUGCCCCGCUACAGCAAGAAGCUCUGGGACACCUGCGGGCCCUGCUAGAGCCACCAGCAACAGCCCCAAAGCCCUGGGGCCGCCUCAGCCCAGCAUGGAGAAGCUGAGCUCUGCACAAGCUGCCCUGGCCUCCUGCAGCCCGUGACACCCGGCCUGCCUGGGGCCUGCCCUCCCUCCCUCUCCCUGCCUCUCCUGCAUUUCUUGGUUCAAUAAAGGCAGGAGAGGCAGGGAGAGGGAGGGAGGGCAGGCCCCAGGCAGGCCAGGUGUCACGGGCUGCAGGAGGCCAGGGCAGCUUGUGCAGAGCUCAGCUUCGCCACGCUGGGCUGAGGCGGCCCCAGGGGCUUUGGGGCUGUUGCUGGUGGCUCUAGCAGGGCCCGCAGGUGUCCCAGAGCUUCUUGCUGUAGCGGGGCAGGGCGCAAGGGCUGCAGGCGGGAGCAGCGUAGGCUCUGCCAAAGGUGCAGAGGCCCCCCGAGGCCUGGGUGGCGCCGGCGCCGUAGAGGCCGCCCAGCCCCAGGGAGCCGCCAAAGGCCGGAGCUCCGGAGGAGCCCACCACGGCCUGCUGGGGGAAGGAGCUGAGGAUGGGGCCGGGGAAGGUGACCACCACGGGCGGUGGCUGGAUGAAGGCAGA